GGUAGAGUGCUUGCCUAUGAUAUGCAAGGACUCAGGUUGGAGCCCCAGUGCUGAAAGAAUCAGGAAAUUAAGUCAUGAAGUGGUGCCUGGGCAGAUAGAGGCCUUAGGAGGAAACUGCAUGUUUUGAGGGACAGAGCUGGGUCAGCAGAGUGUUUCCACACAAAUGAACUGACUUCUGCAUUGAGAACGUGAAUCAACAGAUCCCACAAGGUCAGUGUUCCCAGGCUCCCAAGUCCUUGAGGAAUUCUGGAAGGAAGCUGUUUAUAGUCGUUUUUCUAAGGAAGAAAUUGGAGAGUUGAGAUAUAUGCUUUCUCCUGCCAUCUUCAUGGCCUUCAUGGCCUGCUUCAGGACUCAGUGGGAAAUUCAAAAGGCCAGGAACUCUUGCCUAUGGAGUGAUACCACUCACGUUGGGCAGUAUCUAUUAACAAUCAAGACAAUCAAGACAAAUACCCCAUCGACAUGCUCAUAGCCCAAUCUGAUCUGGGCAGCCCUUCAGUUGAGACGUCCUAGGUAAAUUGCUUAUAUUUAUGUCUUUCAAGAACCUGCUUCCAGGGGAAUUCAAAGUAGGAUAUUGGAGCAGUCAACUCAGUUGCCCAGGACUACAUGGCUGGAAUAAAUUUAUAUCAGUUUCCCCAAGACAAAACCUCAUGGGAGAGGCAGUUGGUUUCUCUGGCCUUUCUACCCUUAAGAGGUCUUCAGCAAAGCCCUUGCCUUGUGGGAUUUCUGAGUUUAAUUCUGAGUUAAAACCCUUCAGUCUUGGGAUAGAGAGAUGGCUCAGUGGUUAAGAGCACUGGCUUCUCUUCCAGAGGGCCUGGGUUCAAUUUCCAGCACCCACAUGGUAGUUUACAGCUGUCUGUAGCUCCAAUUCCUAAGGAUUUGACACCCUCACACAGGCACCAAUGUGCAUAUAAAUAAAACAACAACAAAACCCUUUGGUCUCCAGAGAAGAAACUCAUGGAAAACAAAGCGGCCCAUUAGCAUUAGCAUUCAGAAAUGCAGAGAAGAGCAAAGUCAUGUCCAGGCAGGGCUGCCAACCACAAAAGGCACACCCAGCACUGCCCUCUGAGUGUUGGGUGCCACUUGCUACAAAUCCUGGUUUGGCUGCUGACUCGAUGGAGGUGUGAAGCCUUGGACGAGCCUGGUGUGAAGCCCUGGGUGAUCUUGUUACCCUUCUCUAUCAGUUACCUAAUCUUAAAGCCGAUGAAAUUACAGUGCCGGCUGCAUCUCUGCUGGGAAGCCGCUCUACGUUGGGGCCUUGUCAGAGCAUUGAUCUCCUCCCGGAAGUGAAGCAUGUCGGGAAACUGAGACUCAUAAAGGCCGGGCUUGCCUAGAUAUCUGAGGCCUUGAUCUGAGGCCUUGAGGUCCAGCUUGCCUCCCAUACCCUGGGUACUUCAUCCCUAAAUUGGUUUUACAGUUUGUGAGCUCCCAUUCUGCCACAGUGUCUGAAACUAAAUUAUGUACUAGCCAUUUCAGUAACUUUUCGAAGUAUGAAAACCUCAUAUGCUUGGGCAGAUAUGGUUACAGAAUUCUGAUAUGAGAAAGUUUUAUUCAGACUACGAUUGAAUCAAUGUGUUGUCAUGGAUGAGUUGGUUAUUCAAGAUCUAAUCAGUAGUAACAGAAAUUAAAAAAAAAAAAAAGCAACAAAAAAUAAAUAAAUAAAUAAAUAAAUAAGGGGAGAUGGAGGCAGAAAGAUCAGGAGUCCAGGCCAGCCAAGGCUAUAUGAGACCUUGUUUCAAAAACCAAGCAUAUCUGGAGAGAUGGCUCAACACUCAUAUCAAGUGGUACACAACCAUCUGUAACUCCAGCUCUGGGGACCUGAGGCCUCUGAAGGUACCUGCACUCGUGUGCACACACUCAUAGGCAGAUAGACAUACCUACGAAUAAUUACAAAUAGUAAAAAAAAAUCUACCUCUCAAACAAAUCAAUGGUGCAGCCAAACCACUCCUCAAUUUUCUAAUCCCAAGGUGCUUUACAUGCUGUGAUUGACUCAAUACAUUUGUUCUAAAAAAAUAAAAUCUAAUUUUCUCCUAAACUAAGUUGUAAAAAAAAAAUUCUAACUUA